rnacentral:rRNA from 1 species
AAGGAAGCGAUUCCGGCGGGGGAUGGGCAUGCGGCGCAUUAGCUAGUCGGCGGGGUAACGGCCCACCGAGGCGACGAUGCGUAGGGGUUCUGAGAGGAAGGUCCCCCACACUGGUACUGAGACACGGACCAGACUCCUACGGGAGGCAGCAGUGAGGAAUAUUGGUCAAUGGGCGGGAGCCUGAACCAGCCAAGUCGCGUGAGGGAAGACGGUCCUACGGAUUGUAAACCUCUUUUGCCGGGGAGCAACGGGGUCCUUGCGAGGGCCCGAUGAGAGUACCCGGAGAAAAAGCAUCGGCUAACUCCGUGCCAGCAGCCGCGGUAAUACGGAGGAUGCGAGCGUUAUCCGGAUUUAUUGGGUUUAAAGGGUGCGUAGGCGGGCUGUUAAGUCAGCGGUCAAAUGUCGGGGCUCAACCCCGGCCUGCCGUUGAAACUGGCGGCCUCGAGUGGGCGAGAAGUAUGCGGAAUGCGUGGUGUAGCGGUGAAAUGCAUAGAUAUCACGCAGAACUCCGAUUGCGAAGGCAGCAUACCGGCGCCCUACUGACGCUGAGGCACGAAAGCGUGGGUAUCGAACAGGAUUAGAUACCCUGGUAGUCCACGCAGUAAACGAUGAAUGCUAGCUGUCCGGUUCUACGGGACUGG